GACGAACGCUGGCGGCGUGCCUAACACAUGCAAGUAGAACGCUGAAGGAGGAGCUUGCUUCUCUGGAUGAGUUGCGAACGGGUGAGUAACGCGUAGGUAACCUGCCUGGUAGCGGGGGAUAACUAUUGGAAACGAUAGCUAAUACCGCAUAAUAGUAGAUGUUGCAUGACAUUUGCUUAAAAGGUGCAAUUGCAUCACUACCAGAUGGACCUGCGUUGUAUUAGCUAGUUGGUGGGGUAACGGCUCACCAAGGCGACGAUACAUAGCCGACCUGAGAGGGUGGUCGGCCACACUGGGACGGAGACACGGCCCAGACUCCUACGGGAGGCAGCAGUAGGGAAUCUUCGGCAAUGGACGGAAGUCUGACCGAGCAACGCCGCGUGAGUGAAGAAGGUUUUCGGAUCGUAAAGCUCUGUUGUAAGAGAAGAACGAGUGUGAGAGUGGAAAGUUCACACUGUGACGGUAUCUUACCAGAAAGGGACGGCUAACUACGUG
rnacentral:rRNA from 1 species